rnacentral:rRNA from 1 species
UACGUAGGGUGCAAGCGUUGUCCGGAAUCAUUGGGCGUAAAGCGCGCGUAGGCGGCCAGAUAAGUCCGGUGUGAAAGUCACAGGCUCAACCUGUGAAUGCCGCUGGAAACUGUCUGGCUCGAGUCCGGGAGGGGCGAGUGGAAUUCCUGGUGUAGCGGUGAAAUGCGCAGAUAUCAGGAGGAACACCAAUGGCGAAGGCAGCUCGCUGGAACGGUACUGACGCUGAGGCGCGAAAGCGUGGGGAGCGAACAGG